UACGUAGGGGGCAAGCGUUGUCCGGAAUUAUUGGGCGUAAAGAGCUCGUAGGCGGUGUGUCGCGUCGGUCGUGAAAACUUGGGGCUUAACCCUGAGCUUGCGGUCGAUACGGGCAUCACUUGGAGUUCGGCAGGGGAGACUGGAAUUCCUGGUGUAGCGGUGAAAUGCGCAGAUAUCAGGAGGAACACCGGUGGCGAAGGCGGGUCUCUGGGCCGGAUACGUGACGCUGGAGGAGCGAAAGCGUGGGGAGCGAACAGG
rnacentral:rRNA from 1 species